rnacentral:rRNA from 1 species
GCAGUAGCCGCGGGAAUACAGAGGGUGCGAGCGUUAAUCUGAUUUACUGGGCGUAAAGCGUGCGUAGGCGGCUUCUUAAGUCGGAUGUGAAAUCCCUGAGCUUAACUUAGGAAUUGCAUUCGAUACUGGGAAGCUAGAGUAUGGGAGAGGAUGGUAGAAUUCCAGGUGUAGCGGUGAAAUGCGUAGAGAUCUGGAGGAAUACCGAUGGCGAAGGCAGCCAUCUGGCCUAAUACUGACGCUGAGGUACGAAAGCAUGGGGAGCAAACAGGAUUAGAUACCCCCGUAGUCCCUGUCUCUUAUAC